UUGGUUAAGUUAGAAAGGGCGCACGGUGGAUGCCUUGGCACUAGGAGCCGAAGAAGGACGGGACUAACACCGAUAUGCUUUGGGGAGCUGUACGUAAGCGUUGAUCCAGAGAUUUCCGAAUGGGGGAACCCACUAUCUUUAGUCGGAUAGUAUCCUUACGUGAAUACAUAGCGUGAGGAAGGCAGACCCAGGGAACUGAAACAUCUAAGUACCUGGAGGAAGAGAAAGAAAAAUCGAUUUCCUGAGUAGCGGCGAGCGAAACGGAAAGAGCCCAAACCAAGAAGCUUGCUUCUUGGGGUUGUAGGACACUCUAUACGGAGUUACAAAAGAAAGUUAUAAAUGAAGCGGUCUGGAAAGGCCCGCCAAAGACGGUAACAGCCCGGUAGUUGAAAUGGCUUUCCCUCCAGAGUGGAUCCUGAGUACGGCGGAACACGUGAAAUUCCGUCGGAAUCCGGGAGGACCAUCUCCCAAGGCUAAAUACUCCCUAGUGACCGAUAGUGAACCAGUACCGUGAGGGAAAGGUGAAAAGCACCCCGGAAGGGGAGUGAAACAGUUCCUGAAACCGUGUGCCUACAAGUAGUUAGAGCCCGUUAAUGGGUGAUAGCGUGCCUUUUGUAGAAUGAACCGGCGAGUUACGAUUUGUUGCAAGGUUAAGCGGAAAAAGCGGAGCCGUAGCGAAAGCGAGUCUGAAUAGGGCGCAUAAGUAACAGGUCGUAGACCCGAAACCAGGUGAUCUACCCAUGUCCAGGAUGAAGGUAAGGUAAUACUUACUGGAGGUCCGAACCCACGCACGUUGAAAAGUGCGGGGAUGAGGUGUGGGUAGCGGAGAAAUUCCAAUCGAACUUGGAGAUAGCUGGUUCUCUCCGAAAUAGCUUUAGGGCUAGCCUCGAGGUAAAGAGUCAUGGAGGUAGAGCACUGUUUGGACUAGGGGCCCUUCUCGGGUUACCGAAUUCAGAUAAACUCCGAAUGCCAUGUACUUAUACUCGGGAGUCAGACUGCGAGUGAUAAGAUCCGUAGUCGAAAGGGAAACAGCCCAGACCACCAGUUAAGGUCCCCAAAUAUAUGUUAAGUGGAAAAGGAUGUGGGGUUGCUUAGACAACCAGGAUGUUGGCUUAGAAGCAGCCACCAUUGAAAGAGUGCGUAAUAGCUCACUGGUCGAGUGACCCCGCGCCGAAAAUGUACCGGGGCUAAACAUAUUACCGAAACUGUGGAUGAACCUCUUUAGAGGUUCGUGGUAGGAGAGCGUUCUAAGGGCGGUGAAGUCAGACCGGAAGGACUGGUGGAGCGCUUAGAAGUGAGAAUGCCGGUAUGAGUAGCGAAAGAAGGGUGAGAAUCCCUUCCACCGAAUAUCUAAGGUUUCCUGAGGAAGGCUCGUCCGCUCAGGGUUAGUCGGGACCUAAGCCGAGGCCGAUAGGCGUAGGCGAUGGACAACAGGUAGAGAUUCCUGUACCAGUGCUAAUUGUUUAACCGAUGGGGUGACACAGAAGGAUAGGGAAUCGCACGAAUGGAAAUGUGCGUCCAAGCAGUGAGUGUGAGAAGUAGGCAAAUCCGCUUCUCGCGAAGCAUGAGCUGUGAUGGGGAAGGAAAUUAAGUACGGAAGUUCCUGAUUUCACGCUGUCAAGAAA
rnacentral:rRNA from 1 species